rnacentral:rRNA from 1 species
GACGAACGCUGGCGGCGUGCUUAACACAUGCAAGUCGAGCGGUAAGGCCUCUUCGGGGGUACACGAGCGGCGAACGGGUGAGUAACACGUGGGUGACCUGCCCUCUACUCUGGGAUAAGCCUGGGAAACCGGGUCUAAUACCGGAUAUGACUGUGCCUCGCAUGGGGUGUGGUGGAAAGCCUGGUCUUGGUUGGUCGGGUGGUUGGGGAUGGGCCCGCGGCCUAUCAGCUUGUUGGUGGGGUGAGGCCUACCAAGGCGACGACGGGUAGCCGGCCUGAGAGGGCGACCGGCCACACUGGGACUGAGACACGGCCCAGACUCCUACGGGAGGCAGCAGUGGGGAAUCUUGCGCAAUGGGCGAAAGCCUGACGCAGCGACGCCGCGUGAGGGAUGACGGCCUU